rnacentral:rRNA from 1 species
GACGUAGGGCGCGAGGCGUUGUCCGGAUUUAUUGGGCGUAAAGAGCUACGUAGGCGGCUUGUCGCGUCGACUGUGAAAUCCCGCGGCUCAACCCGCGGGUCUGCAGUCGAUACGGGCUAGGCUAGAGUUCGGUGAGGGAGACUGGAAUUCCUGGUGUAAGCGGUGAAAUGCGCAGAUAAUCAGGAGGAACACCGAUGGGCGA